CUAUCUCGAUCGAUUCAAUACUUCUUUUUCUUGGUAGCCACACCACACCGCACAUGUUUCUGGAAUUCCUCUCUCUCCAACGAUUCAGUGCUAGCUUGCUUCUAGAUUGAUUCAUGAUUUCCUUGCAAAAUAAAGAUUGAUUCAUGCUUUAUAUCUAAAGAAGAUGCGAUUCAGUUCUCAGCUGGCUGGUGAAUUUCUUCCUUUCUCGGCUGUCCAGGAUUCAUAGCGCCCAUGUCCACCGCUGCCUGCACUGCACCUGCAUAUAUGCUCAUCCUUCCCAAUCUAAGCAAAGCAUGCAAUAGCUCGUUUAUCCCUCUUUACCUUGGCACCAGAUUGAUGGACCUCUAUAUACGCAUGGAAAUAAAUAAGUGUGCAUUCUACGGAUAAUAUUUGUGUUGUAUGCAUCUCAAAUUGGCCUGGGAUGGCAAUGCGAGGUUGAACUCUCUCAUUAUCUACCACGCCUUUCUAAACUUGUUUUGCUGCUAGCUUGAGCCUGAUGAUUUGCGAAUUUGAGUUUGUACUUUGUUUCACAGCCUGAAGAUUUGCUAGGAUUGGCUGUUCGCCUGUCCUUGCCGUGCUCCGCUUUCUUCUACUGCGAAGGUUAUGAGAAGUGAUUAUCUUUGUGCCUCCAUGGAGAGCAGCACCGGCUGCAUCUGGCCGCCAGCGCAUCUUUGGAAAUUUAGAAUGAUAAAAGGAAUUGGUCAGACUACAGAAAUUGUGACGCUGAUGAGCCGCCCUGGGCCUAACCACCGUUGGUUCAACGUUCUUCUCUGUCCAUGGAGUUUCCUGUCGUGCAUGCGUACGGUUGAGGUCUAGGAUGUUCGUCCACAUCUUCUACACUAAUCUUUGUCGGCUUCAUCAUGAGUUCUUGUCUCAUUGUGCUAAUGGUGAUUAUCCACUGCAUUUAACAGCACGCCGUGCUGUUGAAGCUUUUCUUAAUCUGAUUAAUUGAUUAUAUCUAGCCUUACAAAGAAGAUUUAAAAGAGGAUGCACACAUAUUUGGACCCAGGGGUUUUGUUGACGGAGCUCACUGAAAAUAUUUGUUCUCACCUGCAGCAA